AUAAUACUCCCUCCAUCCGGAAAUACUUGUCCUAGAAAUGGUUGUAUCUAGACUUAUUUUAGUUAUAGAUACAUCGAUUUUAUUCAUUUCUAGGACAAGUAUUUUCGGACGAAGGGAGUGUAUU
rfam:Triticum aestivum genome assembly, contig: Triticum_aestivum_CS42_TGACv1_scaffold_432912_5DL